rnacentral:lncRNA from 1 species
AUGUCUGCUCAUGGUAACUCCCUGAAAACCACUGAGGAAGUGGCUCUUCAGAUCCUCUUGCUUUGCCAGUUUGGGGUUGGAACUGUGGCCACUGUCUUUCUGUUUGUCCAUAAUUUCUCUCCAGUCUUGACUGGUUCUAAACAGAGGCCAAGACAGGUGAUUUUAAGCCACAUGGUUGUGGCCAAUGCCUUGACUCUAUUCCUCACUAUAUUUCCAAACAACAUGAUGGCUUUUGCUCCCAAAACUCCUCCAAAUGAACUCAAAUGUAAAUUAGAAUCCUUCCGUCACCUGGUGGUAAGAAGCACAAACUUGUGUUCCACCUGUGUCCUGAGUGUCCAUCAGUUUGUCACUCUGGUUCCUCUUAAUAGAGGAAAAGGUAAACUUGUACUCAGAGCAAGUGUCACAAACAUGGCAAGUUAUUCUUCUUACAGUUGUUGGUUUUUCAGUGUCUUAAGUAACAUUCACAUUCCAAUUAAGGUCACUGGUCCACAGAUAACAGACAAUAACACUGACUGGAAAAGAAAGCUGUUCUAUUCCACUUCUGGAUUCAGUGUGGGCAUUGUCUUCUUGCAGUUUGCUUAUGAUGCCACAUUCAUGAGCAUCAUGGUCUGGACCAGUGUCUCCAUGGUACUUCUCCUCCAUAGACAUCGCCAGCGAAUGCAGCACAUCCUCACUCCUAAUCAGAACCCCAGAGGCCAAGCUUAG